ensembl:lncRNA
GAAUCAAUCUGGUGCUUUUCUUUAGCAGUUGAGGGAUUGUGAUACCUGUGAUGGGUAUGGGAUAUGAUCAUGCAGUUCUCCUUCUGUGGACAACUCUUACUGUCUAUAGAGUUAGGAAGUACUGGCAGCUUUUGAUGACCUUGCUCUGGGUAUAUUUCCAAGGAAAUUGACCCUUGCACUACAGCAAUGUCUUUGGGCACUGGAGGACAGAGGCAAAUCUACUGUGAAGAUCUUUCCAAGCAGGGAGCCAACCACACCUGGGAGAAGAAGGUGUCCUGGUACCACAGAGUGCUGUGGAUCCUGCUUGAGUGGGGAGGUGCCCAUGGACAGGUCAUCAGCGGAUUUUGGGACUACAAGAGAACAGGUGGAACCACGUCCUGUGAAGGGUCUGCCAUGGAGGAGAGCUGCCAGGGCUAGGAGCAAGGAAUAAGCAGGACUGCACAGUGUCCAAAAUGUUGCUGCCAUGGGGUAACUCUGGUUACCUCAAUUUUACAGGGUGUGUGUUUCCUUCCAGCCUGUAGUAUUUACACCCAUGGGGUACACCCUGGGGCUGCCUCAGGAGCCUUUGCGUGAGCCCAUGAGAUGGCCUUGGUCUCUGGUAUGGCCAAUCAAUUUGUUAUCCUGCCUCAGCACUGCCAAAUAAUUCGACGGAUGAAAUGAUAGGAUUUUUCUGGAUGUUGGUUUUUAAUAACACUUAAGAUACCAAAUGUUUGCCAAGGUAAUGUAGCAGUGCUGCAUGUCCUUUUAAUGAAUCUCAGCCCCACGAAUUUCACUAACUACUAGGAUAGGAUAACUUGACACAUAUUUUCAUCUUUUUUUACUUUCUUAAAAAAUAAAAGCUGAUUAAGGGUCUUUGCA